GGACCCGCACAAGCGGUGGAGUAUGUGGUUUAAUUCGAUGCAACGCGAAAAACCUUACCAAGGUUUGAAAUCAUUUCAAAACUCUUUGAAAGAAGAGCCUCCUUCGGGAUGGAAUGACAGGUGGUGCAUGGCUGUCGUCAGCUCGUGUUGUGAAAUGUCAAGUUAAGUCUUGUAACGAGCGCAACCCAUGUCUUUUGUUGCUGUUUACAGUGCUUAAAAGAGACUGCCGCUCUACAGCGGAGGAAGGUGUGGAUGAUGUCAAGUCAGCAUGCCCCUUAUAUCUUGGGCUACACACGUACUACAAUGGUAGGGACAAUGAGUCGCAAACCUGCGAAGGCUAGCCAAUCUCAAAAACCCUAUCUCAGUUCGGAUUGUACUCUGCAACUCGAGUGCAUGAAGGUGGAAUCGCUAGUAAUCGC
rnacentral:rRNA from 1 species